rnacentral:rRNA from 1 species
CCUACGGGAGGCAGCAGUGAGGAAUAUUGGUCAAUGGACGAGAGUCUGAACCAGCCAAGUAGCGUGAAGGAUGACUGCCCUAUGGGUUGUAAACUUCUUUUAUAUGGGAAUAAAAUGUUCCACGUGUGGGAUUUUGUAUGUACCAUAUGAAUAAGGAUCGGCUAACUCCGUGCCAGCAGCCGCGGUAAUACGGAGGAUCCGAGCGUUAUCCGGAUUUAUUGGGUUUAAAGGGAGCGUAGGUGGAUUGUUAAGUCAGUUGUGAAAGUUUGCGGCUCAACCGUAAAAUUGCAGUUGAAACUGGCAGUCUUGAGUACAGUAGAGGUGGGCGGAAUUCGUGGUGUAGCGGUGAAAUGCUUAGAUAUCACGAAGAACUCCGAUUGUGAAGGCAGUUCACUGGACUGCAACUGACACUGAGGCUCGAAAGUGUGGGUAUCAAACAGGAUUAGAUACCCCAGUAGUC